GGAUCCAGACUUUGAUCAUGGCUCAGGAUGAACGCUAGCUACAGGCUUAACACAUGCAAGUCGAGGGGCAGCAUGGUCUUAGCUUGCUAAGGCCGAUGGCGACCGGCGCACGGGUGAGUAACACGUAUCCAACCUGCCGUCUACUCUUGGACAGCCUUCUGAAAGGAAGAUUAAUACAAGAUGGCAUCAUGAGUCCGCAUGUUCACAUGAUUAAAGGUAUUCCGGUAGACGAUGGGGAUGCGUUCCAUUAGAUAGUAGGCGGGGUAACGGCCCACCUAGUCUUCGAUGGAUAGGGGUUCUGAGAGGAAGGUCCCCCACAUUGGAACUGAGACACGGUCCAAACUCCUACGGGAGGCAGCAGUGAGGAAUAUUGGUCAAUGGGCGAGAGCCUGAACCAGCCAAGUAGCGUGAAGGAUGACUGCCCUAUGGGUUGUAAACUUCUUUUAUAAAGGAAUAAAGUCGGGUAUGCAUACCCGUUUGCAUGUACUUUAUGAAUAAGGAUCGGCUAACUCCGUGCCAGCAGCCGCGGUAAUACGGAGGAUCCGAGCGUUAUCCGGAUUUAUUGGGUUUAAAGGGAGCGUAGAUGGAUGUUUGAGUCAGUUGUGAAAGUUUGCGGCUCAACCGUAAAAUUGCAGUUGAUACUGGAUAUCUUGAGUGCAGUUGAGGCAGGCGGAAUUCGUGGUGUAGCGGUGAAAUGCUUAGAUAUCACGAAGAACUCCGAUUGCGAAGGCAGCCUGCUAAGCUGCAACUGACAUUGAGGCUCGAAAGUGUGGGUAUCAAACAGGAUUAGAUACCCUGGUAGUCCACACGGUAAACGAUGAAUACUCGCUGUUUGCGAUAUACAGCAAGCGGCCAAGCGAAAGCGUUAAGUAUUCCACCUGGGGAGUACGCCGGCAACGGUGC
rnacentral:rRNA from 1 species